GGAAGUCCUUGUGAAAGAGGGUGCGAAUGCGGCAAAGUGGAUCUUGGAAUAUUUUGUCGAGAGUGAUGAGGUGGUUGUUUCGGAUUUGGCAU
rnacentral:sRNA from 1 species